rnacentral:rRNA from 1 species
CACGUAGGGCGCAAGCGUUGUCCGGAAUUAUUGGGCGUAAAGAGCUCGUAGGCGGUUCGUCGCGUCUGCCGUGAAAGUCCGGGGCUCAACUCCGGAUCUGCGGUGGGUACGGGCAGACUAGAGUGAUGUAGGGGGAGACUGGAAUUCCUGGUGUAGCGGUGAAAUGCGCAGAUAUCAGGAGGAACACCGAUGGCGAAGGCAGGUCUCUGGGCCGAUAUUGACGCUGAGGAGCGAAAGCGUGGGGAGCGAACAGG